UAAACGUACACCUUUACAAGUUUUUAAAACUAAAUAUUCAACCUUUCAAAACGUAUUUCUCAAUGUAUGAACACCUGUUUGCAGAAUCCCAUUUACAAGGUUUCAAAACCGGGCAACAAUGAAAUACACCGUUAGAACAGUGCCAGAUUUGAAACUCUGCAAAUGCGGUGGUGAAAUUGUUUGAACUUUGAAAAUGUGUUGCUGAAAAUGAUGAAGAAGAUAAAAUAGAACACAAAAUCAUGUUUACAGAUGUUUGAAUUUUAGUUUUAUUUUUUUUCAGGUUAUAAUCUCUUUUUUCAGUGUUGCAAAACCUUUUUUACAAGGUGUUGAGUUUUCAAACCCAGACUUACAAGUCUGUGAAACUUUUUUUUUCAGGUUUGAAUUAUGGCAGGAAACUGACUCCAUAGGUACUUAGCCUACAAGUUUUGUGAAAAACAUAAAAACAUUCAUACGGUAUCUCCGUAAAACGACGGCGAAAGUUAAAUUUUUUGAACGUAUAUUACGGACAUACCGGACAGAAAUGUUACGGAGGGGAGGAGUCUCGGAGGAAAAACGGACAUUACGGAGAAUCACGAAUGAAUGGACUUUCGGUCGGAGACGGUUGGAUCGCAUACGAGAAUGUACGCAUGUGGAAACGAGGCGUAAAGGUCUAUUUUUCAGCUAGGAGAAUUUCUCGCACGUGCUAAGGCACAUCUUCUAUCUCUCUUUGCUUCAGAGUAUCAGUUUACCAUACCGAAAAUACUUUAUACUAAAUAAAGUCUCUUUAAAGCUAUUCCUUUGGAUUCGACCAGUGGUGUAGUCUACGUGAUACGCAGGUACAGUGGCGAACUUAGCCCUUUGGGGGCUCCAGGCGAACAGUCAUUUGGGGGCCCCUGCAUCUACCGGUCUCAGUACCUUAUAUCGCAUAAUGAGAUACUCCAUACAAGGGAUGAACAAAAGUCACUAUCCUUCUUUCAUGCAAAUGUUAAUUAUCUAUUUACAAAUUGAGAAUAACAUACAAAACAAUAAGAUUAGUUAUGUUGACACAUUACACUGACUGUUAACCAUAAGUCCUCAUUUACCUGAGGGUUUCCAGUAGUUCACAGCAGCUAUCUGCUGUGAGCUACUGGAAACCACUACUGGAAACCCACUGAUAGCUGCGUCCAGCUAUCACUGUGCUCUUCAGACCUUUCAUGGUUGAUU
rnacentral:lncRNA from 1 species